GAAGAGAGGAAGUGCAGCUGAAGGGCUGGAUAAGGAAAACAUCUCAAACCACUGUCAUCCCUGCCGGGGCCCCGUCGAAACUGUUCAAUUCGGGCCCCGCACUUCCUAAAGCCGGCCCUGCCUGCAAUUAUGGAGUAACCUGUGCACAGUGGAUGUUUUCUUCUAAUCUCCAUUUGUCAGAGCUAUUUUUCAGAUGGACAAGGGACUUGCCAAAGACCACAGAAUGUGAGUGGCAACCAGGAUUUAGAACAAAGGCAUCCCUGACUCUCAACUCCAUGCUCACUCCUGUGGUCUGCACAGCCUUUCAGACACCACCAUACAUCGAUUUGUUUGUAAAGCACUUCAGGGUCCUCUGAAUGAAAGGAACUAUAUUAAAUGUACAGUAGAAACAUUAUCUUUAAAUGUGUAUAUUUGAAAUUUCCUGCUGUGGCGUUCUGACUGCUAGAAGGAACUUAGCCAAAAUUGUGAAAAAUCUAAUAAACACACUGGCAUGUCAUAAAGACAGUUAAGGGACAAAUAUGGUUAAAACAUUUCAUGUAUUUGAAAUAAAAAGUCAAAUUAUAGUCGAGUUGAGAAAUAAAAGGCUAUUUUCUCCCCAAGAUGUCUCCAGUAGAAGCCCAGACAUGAGGGCAUAUACUCAUUGCAUGAUUUUCAAGAUUAACCUAGUAGUAGUGACAGAACGCUGCUGUAUAAUUGCCAUUGUUUCCAAGGUGUUACCACAUAUCAAAACACUAUUACAAGAGCCUAGUUUAAGUGCAUACCCAAGAGAAAUUAGGACAGGUUUUGUUUCUUUGCCUUUCUGGAAAAGAAAAAAAGGACCCUACACCAACACCCUGGUAAUUCUAUUUAAUUUAAUUUUGCAAAUUGCAUUGAAAUUAUACCCCUUCUCUCUUCCCCAUCCCCUGC